AACUGUGGAUUAAUUGCAGUUUAAACUACAUGGGGUAAAACUAAACACUACGUGAAUGAGGCACAGCAGAAAGACUGAGCAGAACGUCGCUGCUUGUUCAGGGUUUUCAGGUGUACUCCUAUUGGCCU